GAUGAAGAAUGUAGCGAAAUGCGAUACUUGGUGUGAAUUGCAGAAUCCCGUGAACCAUCGAGUCUUUGAACGCAAGUUGCGCCUCAAGCCAUUAGGUUGAGGGCACGUCUGCCUGGGCGUCACAUAUCGUUGCCUGAUGCCAGUUUCCUCGUGAUGGGUGACUGUGCAGGGCGAAUGAUGGCUUCCCGUGAGCAUUGUUGCCUCAUGGUUGGUUGAAAAUUGAGUCCUUGGUAGGGAGCGCCGUGAUAGAUGGUGGUUGAGUGACGAACGAGACCCAAUCAUGUGAGACCCCUACCGAAUUUGGCCUUCAUGACCCACAUGCGUCUUUGGAACGCUCAUGACGAGACCUCAGGUCAGGCGGGGCUACCCGCUGAGUUUAAGCAUAUCAAUAAGCGGAGGA
rnacentral:misc_RNA from 1 species